rnacentral:lncRNA from 1 species
CCCACUCAAUCUGUUGAUUCGGAAUCGUGGGAUGGGUCGCUGUAAAAGACGAUGAAUUGGUUUCUUUUUCUAUCCCUGCCACUCAUUUUUGUUAGUACCUUCUAGAAUACUUGAAGAAUCAAAACUUUCAAUUGAAGGUAUUCUUCAAUGGGUAGAGCAUUUUUGCUUAUCUUCGUAUCGUCCAAAAGUGGAAACUUAGGGAAGUG